AUAAGGAGGGGCUAGAAGGAAGCCAAUGACAAAAGAGGCUCCCAUCACCUCCUCCUCACCUUUCAAUUGCUACCCGAUCCUACUUCAAUUGAAUAAAGUUGCAGUCCUUUGGCCAUUGUAAAAAUAUACGUGUGUCUAUCCCCAAUAUUUGUCCUCAUCACACUAACAUAAGAAGCUAUAAGGUUUUGCACUGAGAGUUGGGGCCUUUGCUUGGUGGGUGGGUGUGGGUUUUUUUCCUGCAAGUUGUGUAGCACAGGUCAGGUAGCAGAGUGUCAGGGUUCGCCUGGAGACCAUAUUGACCAUGCAGGGAGAGGCAAAACGAGUUCUGCUGACUUAUUGUGACUGCUGCAGCUUUUUGCCUCACCCUGGGUAUAAAAAAGGAAGAGACGUGACCCUUUGGUCAAUGGAUUCUAAAGUAUGAGGCUGAGCAGCCCUAAGAGAAGAACUCUAGAAACAGCCAUGCUGGGAGAGAAGGCUGGGGCUACAGUUUAUGUUAUUUAUUUGGGGUUACCUUAUUAAUAAAGCCAAACCCGAGGAAGGGAUGAGAUUUGACCCUGAACAGCAUGUAUUGACUGUGUUUGGAGCAGGUUGGUACCUACCCACAGGCCUCUUGAGUCUCCUGAUCUGAUCUAUGAUGUCUGUGAAUUGCUGUCAGACUGACCUGCAGCUAGAAUAGUUCACCCUUCCUGAAGAAUAAGGAGUUUACUUUGAAAAUAUUUUCUUCCAAAUCCACAUAUGACACCUUUAUAUAAAAAAGUUCUAAAACCUUUGAAAACUGGAGUAAGCACAUAUUUGUACUCAGAGAUGAUAACAUACAGUACCUAUUACCAGAUGGUACCACUCCACCAUCAACCUCAGCCUGGACCAGUCCACACAAGAGAUCCACUUCCUGGACAUUACAGUGCAAAUAAGUGAUGUCACAUAAACAUCACCCUAUACCGGAAACCUACUGACCGCUAUACGUACCUACUUGCCUCCAGCUUCCAUCCAAGACACAUCACACGAUCCAUUGUCUACAGCCAAGCCCUAAGAUACAACCGAAUUUGCUCCAACCCCUCAGACAGAGACAAACACCUACAAGAUCUUUAUCAAGCAUUCUUAAAACUACAAUACCCACCUGGGGAAGUGAGGAAACAGAUUGACAGAGCAAGACGGGUACCCAGAAAUCACCUACUACAGGACAGGCCCAACA
rnacentral:lncRNA from 1 species